rnacentral:tRNA from 1 species
GCAGUGGUGGUUCAGUGGUAGAAUUCUCAGCUUUCAUCCAGGUGACCUGAGUUUGAUUCCCGGCCAGUGCA